GGGGGUGUUGCAUAGCGGCCUAUUGCAACGGACUGUAAAUCCGUCGACUUCGGUCUUCGUUGGUUCGAAUCCAACCACCCCCA
rnacentral:tRNA from 2 species